rnacentral:rRNA from 1 species
UACGUAGGGGGCAAGCGUUGUCCGGAUUUAUUGGGCGUAAAGAGCGUGUAGGCGGCUUUACAGGUCCGUUGUGAAAACUCGAGGCUCAACCUCGAGACGCCGGUGGAAACCGUAAGGCUAGAGUCCGGAAGAGGAGAGUGGAAUUCCCGGUGUAGCGGUGAAAUGACGCAGAUAUCGGGAGGAACACCUAUGGCGAAGGCAGCUCGCUGGGACGUUACUGACGCUGAGACGCGAAAGCGUGGGGAGCAAACAGG